rnacentral:rRNA from 1 species
ACCUGACUGCUAUCGGAUUGGUACUAAGCCAUGCGAGUCAUUGUAGCAAUACAAGGCGGACGGCUCAGUAACACGUAGUCAACCUAACUCGUGGACGUGGAUAACCUCGGGAAACUGAGAAUAGACCGCGAUAGAUCAUAGUGCCUGGAAUGGCUUAUGGUCCAAACAGUUUACUGCCAUGGGAUGGGACUGCGGCCUAUCAGCUUGUUGGUGAGGUAAUGGCCCACCAAGGCGAUUACAGGUACGGGCUCUGAGAGGAGAAGCCCGGAGAUGGGUACUGAGACACGGACCCAGGCCCUAUGGGGCGCAGCAGGCGAGAAACCUUAGCAAUGUGCGAAAGCACGACUGGGUCAGUCCGAGUGAUUCCUGAUAAAGGAGUCUUUUGCCUGUCCUAAAAGCACAGGUGAAUAAGGGGUGGGCAAGUCUGGUGUCAGCCGCCGCGGUAAUACCAGCACCUCGAGUGGUCAGGACGUUUAUUGGGCCUAAAGCAUCCGUAGCCGGCUCUGCAAGUCUUCGGUUAAAUCCACCUGCUCAACAGAUGGGCCGCUGGAGAUACUACAGAGCUAGGGAGUGGGAGAGGCAGACGGUAUUCAGUGGGUAGGGGUAAAAUCCUCUGAUCCAUUGAGGACCACCAGUGGCGAAGGCGGUCUGCCAGAACACGUUCGACGGUGAGGGAUGAAAGCUGGGGGAGCAAACCGGAUUAGAUACCCGGGUAGUCCCAGCUGUAAACGAUGCAAACUCGGUGAUGCAUUGGCUUAUGGCCAAUGCAGUGCCGCAGGGAAGCCGUUAAGUUUGCCGCCUGGGAAGUACGGACGCAAGUCUGAAACUUAA